rnacentral:rRNA from 1 species
GAUGAACGCUGACAGCAUGCUUAACACAUGCAAGUCUACUUGAAUUUGGGUUUUUUAACUUAGAUUUGGGUGGCGGACGGGUGAGUAACGCGUAAAGAACUUGCCUCACAGCUAGGGACAACAUUUGGAAACGAAUGCUAAUACCUGAUAUUAUGAUUAUAAGGCAUCUUAGAAUUAUGAAAGCUAUAUGCGCUGUGAGAGAGCUUUGCGUCCCAUUAGCUAGUUGGAGAGGUAACGGCUCACCAAGGCGAUGAUGGGUAGCCGGCCUGAGAGGGUGAACGGCAACAAGGGGACUGAGACACGGCCCUUACGCCUACGGGAGGCAGCAGUGGGGAAUAUUGGACAAUGGACCAAGAGUCUGAUCCAGCAAUUCUGUGUGCACGAUGACGUUUUUCGGAAUGUAAAGUGCUUUCAGUUGGGAAGAAAAAAAUGACGGUACCAACAGAAGAAGUGACGGCUAAAUACGUG